CUAAAAUUGAAUUCAUAGCAAUUUUAUAUCUUGUAAAAUAAAAAAAUGUUCGGGAGAUUUUGGAAUCCGUAAUAACGAAGAAAUCUUCAUGAUGAAGUAGCUGAUGGGGCAGUCUAAAGACGCACCAAGAUAAUCAAAAAGUUAUUCUUCUGAUACUGCAGGAAAUAUUGACACGCCAGCUGAAUAGUUGAAAUUCUAUUUCAAGACGCUCUCAUGCGCUAUACUUUAUUCCAAUCAUCUAUAAAUUAUAUCCCUACUGAAGAAAAAAUGUAGGUAUUUUGAAUAGACAUAAUUCUAAAAUAGAUCAAUAUUACUGCAUACAUUAUUUAGUAUUCUCAUUUUAGUACACGAAAAAAGAUUGGAUUCUUCACAAUUGUCAUUUCAUUAGUCUUUUUAAACAUAGUUUACUGAAAACAUGGCAUGAAAGAGCUUAACAUUUGAAAUUUAGAUAAAGAAAAUCGUUUUUGUACAUGAUAAUACCCUGAAAAGAUACACGUGUUGAAUGGCAUCAUUGUCUGGGUGUUAUUGUGUGCAGACUUGAGAACAUGUUUGUCACCUGCCAUUAUCUUUUCAAUUUUUCAUUGUGGAAAGUGGUGUAGCUGGUGUGAAUAGAAAUGAAAAUGUCCUUCUAAAAAUGACAGUAUAAAGUGCUUUAUACAAUUUACUAUAGUUCUCAAUCGUUGUGCAUGUUUAUAAUAAAUCCUUACCUUUUUUUAGCGUAAUACUGAAUGAUAAACACCUUUUGCACUUGCUGAAACACUCUCUAAUCACCAAUAAAAAUUUUGUGCAAUA